GAUGAACGCUGGCGGCGUGCCUAAUACAUGCAAGUCGAGCGACCAGAUGAGGAGCUUGCUCCUCUGACGUUAGCGACGGACGGGUGAGUAACACGUGGAUAACCUACCUAUAAGACUGGGAUAACUUCGGGAAACCGGAGCUAAUACCGGAUAAUAUAUUGAACCGCAUGGUUCUAUAGUGAACGACGGUUUUGCUGUCCCUUAUAGAUGGAUCCGCGCCGCAUUAGCUAGUUGGUAAGGUAACGGCUUACCAAGGCAACGAUGCGUAGCCGACCUGAGAGGGUGAUCGGCCACACUGGAACUGAGACACGGCCCAGACUCCUACGGGAGGCAGCAGUAGGGAAUCUUCCGCAAUGGGCGAAAGCCUGACGGAGCAACGCCGCGUGAGUGAUGAAGGUCUUCGGAUCGUAAAACUCUGUUAUUAGGGAAGAACAAAUGUGUAAGUAACUAUGCACGUCUUGACGGUACCUAAUCAGAAAGCCACGGCUAACUACGUG
rnacentral:rRNA from 1 species